CCGGACCCGAUCGCUAUAGGGGUAGGGCUAAGCCAUGGGGAGUCGUACGCUCUCGGGAAGAGGGCGUGGCGGACGGCUGAGUAACACGUGGCUAACCUGCCCUUGGGAUCUGGAUAACCCCGGGAAACUGGGGCUAAUCCGGAGCGGGUAAGGGAAUCUGGAACGAUCCCUUACCUAAAUGCCUCUCGGCUGAUCCCGUCGAGAGGUGCCCAAGGAUGGGGCUGCGGCCCAUCAGGCUGUUGGGGGAGUAAAGGUCCCCCAAACCGAUAACGGGUAGGGGCCGUGGGAGCGGGAGCCCCCAGUUGGGCACUGAGACAAGGGCCCAGGCCCUACGGGGCGCACCAGGCGCGGAACGUCCCCAAUGCGGGAAACCGUGAGGGCGUUACCCCUAGUGCCCUCGCAAGAGGGCUUUUCUCCACUCCAGAAAGGUGGAGGAAUAAGCGGGGGGCAAGACUGGUGUCAGCCGCCGCGGUAAUACCAGCCCCGCGAGUGAUCGGGACGUUUAUUGGGCUUAAAGCGCCCGUAGCCGGCCUGUAAAGUCACCGUUUAAAGACCCGGGCUCAACUCGGGGAACGGCGGUGAUACUUACAGGCUAGGGGGCGGGAGAGGUCGGAGGUACUCCCGGAGUAGGGGCGAAAUCCUCAGAUCCCGGGAGGACCACCAGUGGCGAAAGCGUCCGGCUAGAACGCGCCCGACGGUGAGGGGCGAAAGCCGGGGUAGCAAAAAGGAUUAGAUACCCUUGUAGUCCCGGCUGUAAACGAUGCAGGCUAGGUGUCGCGUAGGCUUUGUGCCUACGCGGUGCCGCAGGAAAACUGGUAAGCCCGCCGCCUGGGGAGUACGGCCGCAAGGCUGAAACUUAAAGGAAU
rnacentral:rRNA from 1 species